rnacentral:lncRNA from 1 species
CGAUGAAUUCGCGUCACGUAGGAGCCGCGUGUGGGAAAACGUGGAACAAUACGCGCGCUUACGGCUAUGACGAACCCUGCCUGCCAUUGUUAUGGUAAAGAAACGUCUCUUUCUUUCUCUCUCUCUCUGUCUCUGUCUCCCUUCCUUCUCCUGUUGUCGCUUUAAUCACCGGCAACCGCCGCAACUCACCAAAGAGCGAUCGACGUGGAACGCGCGCAACCUUUCCUCUCCUAUUCGGUUCCGUGAUUUUUGAAAUUAUUCCGACGAUACACCUGCCGCCUCUCCUUUCUUCUCUCUCUCUCUUUCCCCCCCUCUUUUCUUAUUCUUCCUCCUUUUCCGACACGCCGCCAACGCCGCCACGUCGAUCGCUCGCCACCGAUCGAUUGAAUUUGAAUCGAAUUUGCCUGGGUUUCGAUUAAAUGUGCGAUACGUACGCGGUUAACGUAACGAGGUUAUACGUUCAGUCUACUUCGACACGAGUUCAUCGACCUAACCUAUAUAUAUAUUUAUUUCGUUUAAAGCUUCUUCGAAAUUUUAUUCUCUUUCUAUUCCAGAUAUUUGCAUUAUUCUAGCGAAUAAUAAUAGGUUUAUUGAAAUACAGAGACGAGUACGAAGCUGACUUCACAGUGAUUCCAAGAUAAUGAUUCAUUAUCGAUUAGAGAUUCAACGAGUGCUACUCGUGACUUGGCCAUUGCUAUCUUUCGAUGAUUAAAUUAAUCAUCCGACGAUUACGAUUGUUUGAAUAUGCGAGAAAGAAAAGUUUGAAAGAAGAAGAUGAAGUCGUCACAAUGGUGCUUUGGUGUUUCCAUGAAUAGCCGCAAGAUGUUCCAGAAGAAAGGAGGAAACGUUCAAGGAGGAAGCAGACAGAUGUCGCCAAAAAGAAAGAAAAUGGAGGACGAUGGUUAUUCAUGGAUUUAUUAAAUUCAAAUUCAAUAUCGCAAUCACCCCUUUACCAUCAGGGAGGAACAGGAAGAAGAGAAAGAAGAAGAAGAAGAAAGAAAAGGCUUCAAAAGAGCAACCAUCUGUACGUAUCUGUAUAUACAUAUACAUUCCAAAAUAACAAUAUACAGAAUUAUACAAUUUUUCAAAUGGGACAAACUCAAGAUUAAUCCAAUCCAAGAUCAAGAGAUCAAAUAAUUCACCUAUGAUUAUUUAUCAUCAUCAAUCAAAAUUAUACAUAGCAACAAAAUUCUCCAAGAAUGGAGAAGCAAAAAGGAAUGUUUUCUCAUAGAAGGAACGAGGAGAACAGCGGAAGGCGGAAGAAGCGUUUGAAGAGGAAGUGAAAGAGGAAUUGGCGAGGGAAGAAAAACAAGGAAGGAAAUGGGAUCGCGAGAGGACCACUUAUUUUAGGCCCCUGUUUCGCAGAAGCGGAGGAAUGGAAUACACGUUUCUUUGAGAGGAUGGCAAUGAUUAUUUAAUGAAUUAAACGAGCUACGAGAUAUAUCAACAGAGAAGGAUGGAAAAUGAUUUUUCUGCUUUAUCUUUUUACCUGAAGUUUCUGGAUAACAUUAUAUAUGUAAGGUGGGAAAUUUAAGCGUGGUUAUUUAUGGCCUAUUUGUGCAAGCUCGAGCAGAUAUGUUAUCUUAAUUUUUACCACUUCUCAGUGUAUUUUGUUACAAGAUAACAACUUGAAAUACGAGUUAAAACGUUGUUUAAAUCUCUUCCUGCAAAUUGAAAAUAAUAAUA